AGGUGUAGCAUCAGCGCUCAUGGAGAGUCUCCAUCCAGCAGGAUCUCUGUCUCAGAAAAACCUACAACUACAAGUCCAUAUACACCCCCACCCUUCUUUACAUAUCCUCAUCCUGCCUCAGCUCCUCACUUUGUCUUCAUGCUGGUCUGCAAACUCGUGAUCUUCUGUCCCUUCUUCAUCUCCACUAUCCUCAUGGUGUCUCUGUAUCCACACAGAAUCACAGGAAAUGACCUACCCGUUGCCAUGGUGAUGACUCCACCCACCAAAGUCGAUCAGAGAUUGGACGAGGACUAUGAUGAUGUCACCACAGAGCAUCACUUCUGAACUGAUCAUCUCAUCACUCUUCUCCUCCUGGCUGUUUUCUUCUUCUCCCAGUUUGGAAAACUUCUGAACUCAUAAUAACGACUUCCUGAGAUCACCAACAUUUACUGACUGGGAAGAAGUGACCAUCUGAGCUGGACUUUACUCUAUAAGACUCUGGUUGAACUGGACUGGAUGCAAUUGUGUCUGAAUCAGACCAGAGGGGUUUGGAUGAUACUGAGCUUUAUAUAACUGCAUAGAAACUGGUUCUCUUUGUUUCUUAAUGCCUCUUCAAAUACGAUUAUAUACAUCAAUAAAUUGGUGAGAAAUAUUUUUAUCUGACCUUUACCCAUUUGGCAGUUUCUUGUUAAUUAAAAAUUUUACAUCUUG